AACACUUUCUUUAUUCUGUGCUAUCCCAGUUCAUGAGUAUAUUUUCUCCCUUGGGCAGAAAAUUAAAGUGCUCACAAGACUUAUUUUUAAAGGCAUUUUUUUCUCUUCAGUGUAUGGGAAUUAAAUAAAUGCCUUUGAUUCUGGCUUUGCCAUGGAUGCUUUUCUUGAGCCGAAUAUAAGCCUAAUUCUGUGUUUUAAGUUCUACCUGAUUCUUUUUGCAGUAUACUAAUGCAUUUCCUGAAGAGUAAAAUUGAGCAGUGGAGGAUGGGACCAUUCAUUCAUUCAAUACGUGUUUAUUGAGGACGUACAGGACACAGCCUUUGCACCAAGGACACUCACAGACAGGUUUUGGAUAUGCUGUCUGUGCCAUGCAAUUUGAAGCCGUAACCUCUACACCAGACAAGUGAACAUGGAUGUGACUGAGCUGUGGAGCUGUUGAAAGGUGAUCCUGCUUCUCAGGGACAGAGCUUGCUGCGGAAGUAAAAUUUCAAAAUAAUCCUCCAACGUGUUUGUGGCCUGAAGGAGCAGAGCAGCGGUGGGAACAAUUUAAUUCCUAAUAAAGUCCAUACCUCUAAGUCGCUGCGUGUGUGCCAUUGAAACGCAGAGAAGUUGCUAGAACUCCUCCACUCCUGCAGAGCUGUUGCCUCUCUGGGCCUGUGUGACAAUGUUUGCUCUCCCUGCUGUCACUUUGCACUUCCCCGAGUCUCUCUGGAUGGCACUUCAUGAUUUCUCCCUGAAGCAAUGAUGGAAGUAUGUCAGCUGUCAAAGGUUCUGGCAGCAGAAGGCAGCUGAGAAUAAAGCGGCUUCACGGUAAUGUCGGUGACCCCCUAACCAUACCCCGCUUUCCACCGAUGAUUUGUCUGGACAGUGUUUAAAGCAGAUGAAAUAUACAUUUUUUGAAUCAGGCAACAGGAGAUGACCAGUGCUGGGUUUCAUGGGAACCAGAGGAUUUACAACUUUGCUUGGGCUCCACGUACCAGCAGGAGCCUGAUGAGGAGGGCGGCUGUGUUCUGAAUUGUUUUAGGAAGUCUCCUUCAGCCCAAGACCGUCUGGACAAAAUUGCCAUGGGAUCCUGUUGCUGCAGCAGGAUGUUACCAAGUGAGACGUUGACUCAAAGAAGGGGAGCUGAGAUCAGGAAGGCCAAGAUGGCAUCCAAAAAUUCAAACACACCAAGGAGGCCAGGUGCGAUGGCUCACGCCUGUAAUCCUAGCACUUUGGAAGACCCAGGUGGGUGGAUCACCUGAGGUUAGGAGUUUGAGACCAGCCUGGCCAACAUGGUGAAACCCCAUCUCUACUUAAAAAAAAAAAAAAUCAGCUGGGCGUGCUAGAAGGCACCUGUAAUCCCAGCUACUUGGAAGUCUGAGGCAGGAGAAUUGUUUGAACCCGGGAGGUUGAGGUUGCAGUGAGCCACGCCACUGCACUCUAGCCUGGGCAACAAGAGUGAAAUUCAGUCUCAAAAAAAAAAAAAAAAAAAAAAAAACCAAAAAACAAAACCUCCAAAGGACAUAUGUGUGCUCUUGCUCUCAGGAAGCUUGUGAUUCCUGGGGAGAAACUGAUCACACACACACCGAGUAUUGUAAAGUGAUUCAAAGUUGCACAAGGGAGAGGCAAGUUCUGAGUCUCCUCCUGCCUCCCAGUUCCCUUCCUUGAAUGCAGGGUCACUGACUGAUUGGUCACAUCCCAAGACCAUGAUUGGCUAUUUUACAAGUAGACAAGGUCACCAUGCUUUAACAGGCAAGGCCCCAUGAGCCACCUCUCUUUGUUGGAAGUUGCCUGCGUCUGGCCCUCCUCUCACUUCUUGAGUGUAGGUUUGAGGUCUGGGAAUGCUGCUGGUAGCUGUGGUCCAUCCCUUUCAAGAUUGGGAUUUGGAAGAUAAAGGAAAGAUCCUGUUUGGAGCCUGAGCCUAAGCAUAGAGUUCCAGCCUGAGGUUGCAGAGAGGCCCAGCCUUGGGUGUGGGUUCCAAGCCCAGAUGGCAAUAAAGGAGCACCCUGUCUUCCUACGGGCUGGAGUUCCUUUUGAGAGUGCUUCCUGGGAAAUGUUGUCAUAACAUUGACAGGGCAGAAUUUCAGCAUUUCUCACCCUUGGCCCUAAUAUCCAUCUCCCAAAUCACCCCCAGUGCCAGGAAUCAUUAAGAAAGCAGUGGUAGUGUUGAGACAACCAAAAGGCUGUUAGUUUGAGAACCGUCACAUAUAGCAGAUGGAAUUCUUGAAAAAGUGUCUUCAGCAUUAGGUAGAGGCAUAUUGUUAUACAUAAAGAAAGGCCGGAGAAAAACACCAAGAACUUUCUGGGGUAACUUCUCUACAGGAGGUUGCUGUGUCCCCCUAGACAGCUCUAUCAACAGGUGAGGACUGGGAAUCUAGUGGUGAAUUGAUGUGACUGGGUUGGGGCAGAAAUGCCAUGGGGCCUGAUGCAGCACAGCUGUACGUCAUGGAAAAUGAUCCCUGAGACAGUCAGCAACUGGAUGUAGAAUGAAUCUGUUUAAGUAAUGAGUGUUCGCUUUAGGAGAGCAGGAUGCAGGACAAUAGCCAGGAGAGAGCAAAACCUGUUUGAAAGAGUUGAGGGAUUUGUGAUGUCCUGCCUGACACACCAGCACCCCUGAUGAUGCUGUCAAUGGCUUUCUCUCAAUUAGUCCCCCUGGACAGGUGGAAGCCGAGGUAAGUUGGGUAAUUGAUGUCUUCAUGCUUCCACAAAGGGCCUACUUUGGGAAGAUGGAAUAUGUUAAUGCAGGUCCCUGCAUGAAGCAGGGAAUUCUGAACACAUUUGCAGGCCGGUGAAGGAAAGGUCCUUCCCCAUGUCAUGGUUCCACAUGCUCUCCACCAUAAACUUGGAAGAAUUCAAGCUGACACAUCAUGUGAAAUUCAGGGUGAAAAAAGUCUGUUGAAAUGGAUAAUGGAAUGUGGAAGACCUGUGGAACAUGUAGUUGGACCUUUAACUCUGUCUGUAUCCACACAAAAGCCUGUAAUAGAAUGUUCAAGCAUAACAUCCUUGAAUUUUUCAAAAAUAACUUUACAGCUGAUCCAUUUAUUUUGUCGGUGGGGUGAGGGGACAGAGAGAAGAAUGGGAAAGAGAGUGAGAGCAGGGAAAGAGAAGAGUGAUGAUUGAAGGGGAAGAGAAGGAAUUUUCUAACAACUCCUUGCCACAAAAUGAUGAGUGAUGGUGAGUGAUUUAAUUAGGUCAUUAAGUGGAUGAAAUAACAUGGCCAAGGUAAACUUACGUAAACUGUUUCUUAUUUAAAUUAUAUUGGAUACUUGGAUCAUCUGUUUAAUAAAAAAUCUCAUCCACUCUUCAAUAUUGGCUUAAAUCCUCUCCCCUGAACAAAACCUUUUCUAAGCACUGCAACUGGGACAUUUUUUAGUUCUUUUUACAUUUUUUUUCCAUAUUAUUUAGUUGAAACUAAUUGCAUGGAGCUCUAUUCCACGUAGUUACUUCCAUGGGUCCAUGAGUCUUAUUUCUCCCCAAAGACAUUUUUCUUAGGGAGGAAGAAACCAAGCUACAAACGUUUUUCUCAUGUGCUUCCUACACUGUGUUCUGUGCAGUAGAUGCUGCUGAACAUUUGCCAGGAGCCUGAUAUUUGGAAAGUUUGGCUCAUUUUCAAGGCUAUGCAAUUUAAUGAUACUGACAAACCCCAAAAUUUCUAGAUCCCAAUUAAGUACUUCAUUGUCCUGACUUCAUUCAUCAUAAUGGAAAAUUAACUUACUGUCUAAUAUCUCAUUUUCUUCUCUUUAAUAUAGAUAAUAAUAAACUAACCCAUGCAAAUGUAUUGAAGAAUAAUGAAUAAAUAAAAUUUACAAGCAAAUGUAAGUAUAAAGAUGUAUCUAAAUGCACAUAAUAUUAAUGGAGAUUGAUAAAAUAAACCAGCUAGUAAUGAUGUGGAAGUGAUAACAUGUACACAUCGUUUUGCAAAUCAGAUUUUUAGUGACUAAAUAGAAAAUGACUUGGAGAAAAUACAUGAGACUUUGUGAGUAAUUCUGAGGUGGGAGAGAAAUUUUUUAAAAUUCUGAGGAUGUAUGAUGGGAUUCUUUAAGACUUUCUCUCUUAGUCUCCUGAACUCUGUUUAUAGUGUACACAUUAACUUUGUUUAUAAAUUUAAUGAAUCCGUUUUUGAUUAAAUAAACAUGCGUAUGGUAAAGAAAUUCCGUGAGACUAAAUAAUUCUUCCACCCCUGUCUCCCAGUUUUCUGGUUCUCUUCCUCAGAGAAAACUACUAUGUUUCUUGAAUUUUCUUCAGAGGAUAAUUCUCUGUAGAUACAAACAUAUUUCUAAAUGUGCCUUUCACUUUUAUAGCAUGAAGUUUGGUGUCCUAAGUAAGAAUUCUACAGUUUGCUUGUUUUCACUUACCAAUAUGUCUGGAGAUUGUUCCAUACAUACAUGUCGAUCCACCUCUUUCUUUUUAACACCAGGGUCUCUGUUAUAGACAUAACACACUUGUCCAGGCAGAUAACUUCUCAGCUUAGCGUUUUCAAGGUUGUUACAUAAUAAUGAUCUUUAUAAUGGAUUUGUCCUCUUCAGAGCAGGUCUGGGCUUUUGAUGUGCCAUGUGGAUUAUUGGUGGAAAUUUAUGAGUACAUUCUUUGGAGUUGCAUUCACAUUCAAGUCUGUAUUAUAACAUUCACAAUUAUAUAACUUGGACCCUUCACCUUCUUAUUUUAAUUUAGAUUCGUUGUAAUUCUGGACUUUCAUACCACCAUUAGCCUUGAACUUAUUUUGAAGCUCUCCUAUAGGAGAGCUAGACAAGGAUGUUUCUUGUCUAAUAUCCUGGACAAUAUUCUCCAGUAGCAAUGUACAAAAGAGUUAAUGGAAGCUUAAUUUCUGGGUACUCAAACACCUGAAUAUAUCUUUAUUCUGUUCUCAUAAUUGACUUAACAAUAUGACUAGUUAUAGGUAUCUAAGUUAAAAAGAUUUUCUCCAUAAUAUAUUGGGCCUCAA
rnacentral:lncRNA from 10 species